GACGAACCGUGCGAACGUUGUUCGGAAUCACUGGGCUUAAAGGGCGCGUAGGCGGGCUGUCAAGUCUGGGGUGAAAUCCCACGGCUCAACCGUGGAACUGCCUUAGAUACUGACGGCCUCGAGGGAGAUAGGGGCGAGCGGAACUGUGAGUGGAGCGGUGAAAUGCGUUGAUAUUCACAGGAACUCCGGUGGCGAAGGCGGCUCGCUGGAUCUCUUCUGACGCUGAGGCGCGAAAGCCAGGGGAGCAAACGGG
rnacentral:rRNA from 1 species